CAAACAUCCAGAUUAAUGUUUGACCAACUAUCUGGAUGCUGUGGACUGGCCAAGUUGGUACAUAAAAUUAACUGCUCUGGCCUCACAAGAUUAAAACUUGGUAAGAAAGUAGACACGGAAGUGUGUCUCUGUCCAGUUCCACCUAAACUGUGCUGGCAGAAACUUUGGCUCCUGCUGCUUAGCUCCUUCAGCGACCUGCGAGUCUGUCUCACGAAAAGAUACCGACCGCCAUCUUGAAUUUCUAAGCACUAAACACGAAGAGAUGUGAGUUUCUCAAAAGAUGCUUCAGACCCUCUGAGCCCCUUUGUCUGCGUGGAACGGGUCUCUAGUCGCGGGUGGACAAAGCGUAGGAUGAGUGACAAACAGACGCACACAGGAGAGGUCGAGGAAUCUGAAUGUCAUUUUUCAAAUCGAGCAUCAGACUUUUUAUGCAGAAGACAAUAAGGAAGUUGGAUGACAUACCUGCAAGCUUUCCCAGAUAUCUCUGAAGAUACCAUUUUGAAUAGGACUCACAUCACUCACUGCCUUGGUAGGGUCAUCUUUGUUCCACAAGAGGAAAACUGUCCACGAGAGGGUGGAGAUCACUCUGGCCAUGCAUAAUCAGAUUAACAUCAACGGUCCUUUACUCUGAAGAAGCCAUGGAGACCCCUCUUGCUGAUUAAGCCAGCUCAGGCUCCUGUGGAUGCUAUGGCCCUGGGCACUGAGCCCAGCAUCUGAACUUGUUCCUGGACCAGAGGUUCGAGAUGUCCACUUCUGAGGCCAUUUACUUCUUUGUGGGCCACCAGCUGUU
rnacentral:lncRNA from 1 species